rnacentral:rRNA from 1 species
UAAUACGUAGGGUGCAAGCGUUAAUCGGAAUUACUGGGCGUAAAGCGUGCGCAGGCGGUUUUGUAAGUCUGUCGUGAAAGCCCCGGGCUCAACCUGGGAAUUGCGAUGGAGACUGCAAGGCCUGAAUCUGGCAGAGGGGGUAGGAAUUCCACGUGUAGCAGUGAAAUAGCGUAGAGAUGUGGAGGAACACCGAUGGCGAAGGCAGCCCCCUCGGGUCGAAGAUUGACGCUCAUGCACGAAAGCGUGGGAGCAAACAGGAUUAGAUACCCUGGUAGUCCACGCCCUAAACGAUGUCUACUAGUUGUCGGGUUUUAAUUAACUUGGUAACGCAGCUAACGCGUGAAGUAGACCGCCUGGGGAGUACGGUCGCAAGAUUAAAACUCAAAGGAAUUGACGGGGACCCGCACAAGCGGUGGAUGAUGUGGAUUAAUUCGAUGCAACGCGAAAAACCUUACUACCCUUGACAUGUACGGAAGCCACGAGAGAUCGAGGUGUGCUCGAAAGAGAACCGUAACAC